UAAGCGGAGGAAAAGAAACUAACAAGGAUUCCCCUAGUAACUGCGAGUGAAGCGGGAAAAGCUCAAAUUUAAAAUCUGGUGGUCUUUGGCCAUCCGAGUUGUAAUUUAGAGAAGCGUCUUCCGCGCUGGACCGUGCACAAGUCUCCUGGAAUGGAGCGUCAUAGAGGGUGAGAAUCCCGUCUUUGGCACGGACACACCAGGGCUUUUGUGAUGCGCUCUCAAAGAGUCGAGUUGUUUGGGAAUGCAGCUCAAAAUGGGUGGUGAACUCCAUCUAAAGCUAAAUAUUGGCGAGAGACCGAUAGCGAACAAGUACCGUGAGGGAAAGAUGAAAAGCACUUUGGAAAGAGAGUGAAACAGUACGUGAAAUUGUUGAAAGGGAAACGCUUGAAGUCAGUCGCGUCGACCGAGACUCAGCCUUGCCUCGGCUUGGUGUACUUCUCGGCCUGACGGGUCAGCAUCAAUUUUGCCCCUUGGAUAAUGGCGAGGGAAAUGUGACACCUUUACGGUGUGUUAUAGUCCCUUGUCGCAUGCAAGGGUUGGGAUUGAGGAACUCAGCACGCGCCUUUGGGUGUCGGGGCNUUGCCCACGAUACGUGCUUAGGAUGNUGGCGUANUGNCUUUAAAC
rnacentral:rRNA from 1 species